UUCAAAGACCCCGACGCCGAGUUAAAAAAUGCUCUACUGGAGAUCAUCGGAGAGAGAGAGAGAGGCCACCUACUCGCCGGUGAGCAUCAAGGCUCCUUCAAUGGAUUCUCUACCUAGCCACUUGCAAUUACUCCUCUUCAAUGGCUUCCUUCAAUGCCUAGGUAGGCUUCUAUUCAAUGAUUUCUUCAUUAACUUCCACCCACGUUUCCUCAAAAUUUUGAAUUCGAAAAUUAGAUGGUUGGCUUGUAACUUUCUUAUAGAUAAGUGGGAACAUAGACUCAAGGCAUAUAAGAUUCUUGUUACUUUGUCCGUAUGUAACUUAGUUGAAACAAAAUUACAAGUAAUUGUCCUCCCCCAAACACCACCUGUAACAAAAUUAUAUUUUACAAAACUUACAGGUAUCCAAACCCUCCCUUAGUCUUCUUGCUUGGAAAUCUCCCAUACAGGAUGUGCUGUUGUGAUGCACCCAGUCUGUACAAUUGGGGCUUAUGGUUUGAUGACCCAAACCAUUGAAUAGGAUGAUCUCGACCUUUUGGUUGCUGGCCCGCGAAGAGACGGUUUAGAAAAAUGCAACAACAAUUCACGUUGAAUGGAAAAUGGGCCAAAGUCAAGGAUUGGGAUCUUUCAAGCUGGAAGAUCUUUGUGGCAGGCAUACCUCCUUGCUGGGCCCCAUCAUAUCAAGUUUCGAUCACUAAAUGAGGAGUCCUCUUGUAUGGGCACAUCUAGACACAAUGCUCAUCCUGUUACGUGAAGACAUUAUAAUUUCCUUAAGAAGUUAUAUUCAGAUAAAGCGAUUUUCACAGUUAAUAAUCUGAACUAUUAUAGUUUGUUUUGUUCAAAGUGGAAUUUUCCUGCCCUCAUAUAAAGAACCUAGCGCCCUUCAGCUUAAUGCUUUCUUGUGUUUCCCAUGAAUGAUGUCAUGUAAUAUAGAAAUCACUCCUGGAAAGGGUGUUCAAUUGGCUAGAGUAGCAAGUGUUGUACUGAACUAAUUGCGGAAGGGGGUUAUAUCAGCCACAUUAAGAUUAUCUUAUGAAGGAGUCAGUUUGAUAUCCAAAAACUAAACAAAUCUCGAAAAGAGGAAUGUGUAAUGUGGGGGUGAACUAGAAAAGUUAGGGGGCGCUUAGAUGCUUGUAAGUUUUGUAAAAUGUAACUUUGUUACAGGUGGUGUUUGGGGGGAUAAAGUUACUUCUAACUUUGUUUCAACCUGUAAAUUAUUUACAGGCAAAAGUUACAAGAAUCUUACAUACUUUGAAGCUAUGUUCCCAUUGAAGGAAGUCAUUGAAGAGAACCGGUUUAGGUAUUAUUGAAGGAAUAAAUCUGCAGAGAGCCUCUGUAGGUGGCUAUUGAAGGAAGCCAUUGAAGAGGAGUGAUUGUAGGGGCUGGGUAGAGAAGACAUUGAAGGAGCCUUGAUGCUCAUCGGCCGCUUGAGGAGUUCGACAAGAAGAAAGCUGAAGGGAGAGCAAAAAAGGCUGCAUCAACUAGCCAAUUGCAGUCAGCUGAUGUCAGCCAAAAUGAGAAAUUGGCACAAAAAUGUGAAAAUUCGAAACUUUCAGUUCAGAUGGAGCUGCAUCUGAGAGAGAUGGUGUCUCUGCUGUCCAAUGUUCUGAACCUGCCCCGACCCAAGACAAUGAAGCGAUUAAUUCAUCCCUGGGCACUGAGCUAGAUUCAACAAGUGUGGCAAAUGCUGCAUGUCCUACUUUGGCUAAUGAUUACUAUGCAUUUUACAAGGAUCCAGAGAAACCUGCAAGAAAUCCUGAGUCUACAUGGCAUGAUGGUUUAGGCUUCUUGGGACAAGAGUGUGAUUAUUAUGAUUGCUAGUGGAGAGAAAGGAAGAAUGAUGAGCUUUGCAGUUCCACGGGUUUCAACAGAUCAUCCUACUGCUGUCGAUACUGUUUAUAGUUACCCAAACCUUGAUGGAAACAUUCAUCAAUUUAGUUACAAUUCCUUGCAUGAAGCUCAGUCAGAAGAAAAUAGGCAUUCAUCAAAGGAAUAUCCUGUUAAAGAACCUGGCACAUCUUAUUUGUUGUUGACAACCGACUUGCCAGGGAAGUCAGCUAGUGUUCCUAUGCCAAGCAAGGUGGAAUCUGCUUGAAUGUUAACUGCUUACAAUGCAUCUACCUCAUAUGAUGGGAGAUGUUGUAAACAAGCUAAGAUCUGACAUGGAAAGGUUAAUGGUGGAAAUUAGAGAUGGCACCUCAGGCUGUGAAACUGGAGUAUGCCAAUGCACAACUAGAAUGUAGUGCGGCUGAUGAACGGACAAAAAUAUUGUCUUCUGAAGUCAUUGGCUUGGAAGAAAAGGUGCCCACAAUUGUUAACAUCGUUUGAUCUUUGGAUGGGACUUGCACUCAGAACCUACAGUUUGCACUCAGAUUGAAGUCAAAUGAGCCACUGCUGGAGAGACAAUUGGAGAACACAAAUGCUGAAUUGACUUCAUACAAGACUUGAACAAGGAGUUAUCACAAAAACUGGAAAUUCAGACUCCGAGGUUAGAGCUUUUGACUUCUGAACGUAUGGCCAACGACAAUGCCCUGGCGAGACCAACAGAGUCCAACAGCAUCCUGCCUGACAGUGCAGUGUAUCCAGAUGAAAGGGACGAGGUGGAGUGUCUUGCGUUGUGGAGCUCCAUCAAAGCGCCGCACCAGCAUGCUUCUGCGAUAACUUGACAUCAGGGCAGCAUAAUUGGUUCCAGCAUCCUUCUCGAUUACAUUGGCCUAA